UAAAAAAAAAAUCCGUCGACUUUAGAAAUCGUGAGGGUUCAAGUCCCUCUAUCCCCA
rnacentral:tRNA from 1 species